UUACGACCAUAUCACGUAUAAACACUAUUUCCCGUACGAUCAAUGAUGCUAAGCAAUGUCGAGCUUGGUCAUUAGCUAGAUGGGGGACUUCUUGGGAAUACCAGGUGCUGUAU